rnacentral:lncRNA from 1 species
CUUAUGGCACCCUUACUUGGCUACUUCGACCACAGUCGAGGGUCCGCCAAGCACUCAUACAAAGACAUGACUUGUGUCACUGACCCAACUCUCCAGGUUGCGGUUUUAGUAGACACCAAGUCCGUGUCUUUCUUUAGAAUGUCGUCUACUCUAGACUUGAUUCUUUUUCAGAUCUUCGUCCAUGACUAGAUCAAAUUCAGUCCCUAGGAACA